CCGUACAACAGUACCAUAGAAGUGCGGGAUAAUAAAGGUAUUCAACAUGACGGAAAGUGAGUAACAAAGACUGUUCACCACAUCUGUAACGAAAUUGGAUGGACCCGCUCUUAUAGAACAGGAGCAAGUUCUUUCGAAGAAGCUUUUAAAUAUAGACCUAAGCAUAUAAUCAAUAAAAGUUUUGGACUGCACACUAUAUAUAUUGCUGAAAACGGUGCUUUCAUUGUUAAUAAGUCAAUCAAAGAAAAUUUGUGCUUAAUGAUUACAGCUAUUGAAAUGGCUGGAUACAAUGGAAAAGUUGUAAUAAGAAUCAAUAUUGCAGCAUCUGAUUUCUAUGUAAAUGAAAAAUACGAAGUCAUGCAAUAAUGUCAAAGUCAAAUCACUUCAACUGAAAAUGUAAUAAACUUUUGCCAAGAACUCAUUGAAAAAUGUCCAAUAGUUCUGAUAGAAGAUCUAUUUCACCAGGACCAUUAGAU